rnacentral:tRNA from 1 species
GGAGGGUACAGCUCAAUGGUAGAGCGUGUGCUUAGCAUGCACGAGGUCCUGGGUUCAAUCCCCAGCACCUCUG